rnacentral:tRNA from 1 species
UAGUCUGUAGCUCAGUUGGUUAGAGUGCUGCACUGGAAUCACAGGGCCAUAGGUUCAAAUCCUACCAGAGGAC